AUCCUCCAAGGCUAAAUACUCCUGACUGACCGAUAGUGAACCAGUACCGUGAGGGAAAGGCGAAAAGAACCCCGGCGAGGGGAGUGAAAAAGAACCUGAAACCGUGUACGUACAAGCAGUGGGAGCACCUUCGGGUGUGACUGCGUACCUUUUGUAUAAUGGGUCAGCGACUUAUAUUCUGUAGCAAGGUUAACCGUAUAGGGGAGCCGAAGGGAAACCGAGUCUUAACUGGGCGUUAAGUUGCAGGGUAUAGACCCGAAAC
rnacentral:rRNA from 1 species